rnacentral:rRNA from 1 species
GGGAGCCUGAGAAACGGCUACCACAUCUAAGGAAAGCAGCAGGCGCGCAAAUUACCCAAUCUUAAUACUGGGAGGUAGUGACAAGAAAUAACAAUACAGGACUUUUUGGUUUUGUAAUUGGAAUGAGUUAAGUAUAAACCCCUUUACAAGUAUCAAUUGGAGGGCAAGUCUGGUGCCAGCAGCCGCGGUAAUUCCAGCUCCAAUAGCGUAUAUUAAAGUUGUUGCAGUUAAAAAGCUCGUAGUUGGAU